ensembl:lncRNA
AUCUUGGUGCUCCUUAGCUCUUUAUUCUUAGCUCACUUUUUAGUGCGCUGCACACUCUAUCAGCAGUUUUCAUUCCUCCUCCUUUAAUCUUACCUCCAGCCUUCAGUGUGCUCGAAUGGCUCCUUUCAGCGGUGAGGCACUGAGGCUCCCGGCUCCAGCUCUGCAGGGACGCUCCAGAAGCAGCAGUGACGUUUCCCCAUGAAGGGGAAAGUGAGUAAAGUACGAUGAUAGAAAAGGUCACCCCCUCAAAGCCAUAAAAAAGUACUGUCACCUCCUCCAGCACUGGGGGUUAAAUACUCGAGUGGGAAGUGUCAGGGAUGUGAGAGGACACCGGCUGGAGCUACAGCCCUUCUGUAUGGAGCUGCCUUUGUGCUGAGCUGCAGUCCCCCAGCUCUGGGCUAUGGGGCAGGAGGUCACCUGCACGGUGGCUGCCAGCUCCUGGGAAACGUGGCAGUGGGGCACACAGGGAUGGCCCAGGCUGAGAACCCAGAAACUGUGUGGCUGUUGGGUGUGCAGCAGCACGGCCGGAUCUCCUGGUCUCAGGAAUUAAAACAAAACGUGGCAGUGACAGACAAUAUUUGGACAAUAUUUGCCUUCAGGCCUGCUUGCUGGUGUGAAAGUGUUACGGCCCGCUGAUGGAGACGGGUGGGAUGAAGGAUGAGAAUGUGAGCAUAAUAAAAAGAUAAACAAGAGCAAUGAGAAUACUGAAUGUAAGUAUCGCUAGCAGAGCUCAAGCAGCAGGCUCUGCUGGAAAUCUUCUUAGGCACCACAAUACAAAAAUGCUUUCUUUUUAGGAGGAAAUCAACCUAAUCAAGACAUAUUGGCAUGGCAAUAUGCUCAUAGGGAGAGUAAGUUGGAGUUAUCUUCUUCAAUUAUGUGUGCUUGUCCUAGAGAGGGAUGCAAAUAAUGAAUAUAAGGCAGUGAUUUCCACAUGUGUAUCCCAGCUGAGAACUCAGCUCACACACUGAGCUGCAGGUGAUGCACAGGAAGGAGAAGAGAAGAACUUUGUGAGUAUUUCUGAGUGCUUGUGUGUAUGAAUGGCUGUCUGGCACACAGUGGCAGCCCAGCGUUCAAAGGGGCAUUGGGACAAACCAGUGUGGAAGAAGCACUCCUGGUCUUGUGAUGGGAGGAGGGACACUGCAGAAAAAAGAACUUCAGCUGAAUAAAAGCAGCAAAUAAAGCAGGGAGUGAGAUAAAGAAUGAUGCAGGCCUUCAUUUCCUUCAAGGUAAAAUCACUGGUCCCAGGUGUCAGCACCUCAUAGACCUGCCUGGAUAUGUUUUGAACCCACUGAAUUAUAGAUCUGAGUGGGUUUUUACGUGUGUGCUUUGUUUGGGGUGGAAUUUUAUCUGCCUUCUGUUUAUCUCUGUUGCACUACAAGCAACAGCUCUGCUUUGCUGGUUGAAUUUGCUUUACAAUCAGAUGCUCCAUUUCUAUAAGGCACAAAAUGUUUAGCUGACCUUUUAUUGAAGAAGAUUGUAGAAGAGAGAUUUAAGAGCCUAUUUAUUACUUAUUGCUUCUAUUUUCUGUACUGGAGAAAUUUAGACCUGAAUUAAGAUGCGUUCUCCAAAACAACCCCGUCUGCCCAGUUGCAGUGCACCAACACAGAACUGAAGCUGGCCAUCACAACGCUGUGAAUCCUGGAGUAUUAAGCAAGAAUUUGAGGGAUAAAUAAACUGUAUUAGCAGCAUGUGGGGGUCCUCGCUGCCUGCAGUGACCCAUUCCUGCAGUUUACUGAGAAAUAACACUGAAAAUACGCUUUGCUAUCUUCUGUAUUUUAAGGUGGGAGAUUUAUCUCCUACCUUUGCUGUGGUUCCACACUCUCAUAGGGCUCUCUGGAAGUCUGGAGGUGGCAGCUGACGCCUGUAGUGUUCACCUGGCACUGUGAAGCAGCACAAAACACAAUGGUGUGAUAUAUUUAAUGCAUAAAAAUGGGAAAUGCUGAUCAGAGCGGAUCACAAACUCUCCUGCCCCAUCACUGCAGUGGGAGCAUCAGGCUGCAUGGCAGCCCAGCACUCAGACAGCACUGCAGGGCUUCAACCUGACAGACUGAAAUCAGCAGAAGA